rnacentral:rRNA from 2 species
UGGGCGUUAAGUUGCAGGGUAUAGACCCGAAACCCGGUGAUCUAGCCAUGGGCAGGUUGAAGGUUGGGUAACACUAACUGGAGGACCGAACCGACUAAUGUUGAAAAAUUAGCGGAUGACCUGUGGCUGGGGGUGAAAGGCCAAUCAAACCGGGAGAUAGCUGGUUCUCCCCGAAAGCUAUUUAGGUAGCGCCUCGUGAAUUCAUCUCCGGGGGUAGAGCACUGUUUCGGCUAGGGGGCCAUCCCGGCUUACCAACCCGAUGCAAACUGCGAAUACCGGAGAAUGUUAUCACGGGAGACACACGGCGGGUGCUAACGUCCGUCGUGAAGAGGGAAACAACCCAGACCGCCAGCUAAGGUCCCAAAGUCAUGGUUAAGUGGGAAACGAUGUGGGAAGGCCCAGACAGCCAGGAUGUUGGCUUAGAAGCAGCCAUCAUUUAAAGAAAGCGUAAUAGCUCACUGGUCGAGUCGGCCUGCGCGGAAGAUGUAACGGGGCUAAACCAUGCACCGAAGCUGCGGCAGCGACACUGUGUGUUGUUGGGUAGGGGAGCGUUCUGUAAGCCUGCGAAGGUGGCCUGUGAGGGUUGCUGGAGGUAUCAGAAGUGCGAAUGCUGACAUAAGUAACGAUAAAGCGGGUGAAAAGCCCGCUCGCCGGAAGACCAAGGGUUCCUGUCCAACGUUAAUCGGGGCAGGGUGAGUCGACCCCUAAGGCGAGGCCGAAAGGCGUAGUCGAUGGGAAACGGGUUAAUAUUCCCGUACUUGGUGUUACUGCGAAGGGGGGACGGAGAAGGCUAUGUUGGCCGGGCGACGGUUGUCCCGGUUUAAGCGUGUAGGUGUGUGUUCCAGGUAAAUCCGGUUCACUUUAACACUGAGGCGUGACGACGAGGCACUACGGUGCUGAAGCAACAAAUGCCCUGCUUCCAGGAAAAGCCUCUAAGCAUCAGGUAACAUCAAAUCGUACCCCAAACCGACACAGGUGGUCAGGUAGAGAAUACCAAGGCGCUUGAGAGAACUCGGGUGAAGGAACUAGGCAAAAUGGUGCCGUAACUUCGGGAGAAGGCACGCUGACACGUAGGUGAAGUGAUUUACUCAUGGAGCUGAAGUCAGUCGAAGAUACCAGCUGGCUGCAACUGUUUAUUAAAAACACAGCACUGUGCAAACACGAAAGUGGACGUAUACGGUGUGACGCCUGCCCGGUGCCGGAAGGUUAAUUGAUGGGGUCAGCGCAAGCGAAGCUCCUGAUCGAAGCCCCGGUAAACGGCGGCCGUAACUAUAACGGUCCUAAGGUAGCGAAAUUCCUUGUCGGGUAAGUUCCGACCUGCACGAAUGGCGUAAUGAUGGCCAGGCUGUCUCCACCCGAGACUCAGUGAAAUUGAACUCGCUGUGAAGAUGCAGUGUACCCGCGGCAAGACGGAAAGACCCCGUGAACCUUUACUAUAGCUUGACACUGAACAUUGAGCCUUGAUGUGUAGGAUAGGUGGGAGGCUUUGAAGUGUGGACGCCAGUCUGCAUGGAGCCGACCUUGAAAUACCACCCUUUAAUGUUUGAUGUUCUAACGUGGACCCGUUACCCGGGUUGCGGACAGUGUCUGGUGGGUAGUUUGACUGGGGCGGUCUCCUCCUAAAGAGUAACGGAGGAGCACGAAGGUUGGCUAAUCCUGGUCGGACAUCAGGAGGUUAGUGCAAUGGCAUAAGCCAGCUUGACUGCGAGCGUGACGGCGCGAGCAGGUGCGAAAGCAGGUCAUAGUGAUCCGGUGGUUCUGAAUGGAAGGGCCAUCGCUCAACGGAUAAAAGGUACUCCGGGGAUAACAGGCUGAUACCGCCCAAGAGUUCAUAUCGACGGCGGUGUUUGGCACCUCGAUGUCGGCUCAUCACAUCCUGGGGCUGAAGUAGGUCCCAAGGGUAUGGCUGUUCGCCAUUUAAAGUGGUACGCGAGCUGGGUUUAGAACGUCGUGAGACAGUUCGGUCCCUAUCUGCCGUGGGCGCUGGAGAACUGAGGGGGGCUGCUCCUAGUACGAGAGGACCGGAGUGGACGCAUCACUGGUGUUCGGGUUGUCAUGCCAAUGGCACUGCCCGGUAGCUAAAUGCGGAAGAGAUAAGUGCUGAAAGCAUCUAAGCACGAAACUUGCCCCGA